rnacentral:rRNA from 1 species
UACGAAGGGGCUAGCGUUGUUCGGAUUUACUGGGCGUAAAGCGCACGUAGGCGGAUUGUUAAGUCAGGGGUGAAAUCCUGGAGCUCAACUCCAGAACUGCCUUGAUACUGAAGAUCUUGAGUUCGGGAGAGGUGAGUGGAACUGCGAGUGUAGAGGUGAAAUUCGUAGAUAUUCGGAAGAACACCAGUGGCGAAGGCGACUUACUGGACACAUACUGACGCUGAGGUGCGAAAGCGUGGGGAGCGAACAGG